ACGCACCCAAACAGAGCCAGCCCCGGUA
rnacentral:sRNA from 1 species